GUGACCGUCGCCAAGUGGUUAAGGCACAGGGUUGUGGCCCCUGCAUGCGUGGGUUCGACUCCCAUCGGUCACC
rfam:Carboxydocella sporoproducens DSM 16521 genome assembly, contig: BR84DRAFT_scaffold00045.45